GCAGAGGAAAAGUUGCUAAUUAUACAACUUUUGCAAAUACACAAAGGAAUUUAUUUGAAUUUUGUUCCAUGUUGGCUGCAAUAGACAAGGGUACUGACUAUAAAAUCAGCACAGCAUUUAACUAUUUUAUCAGCCAAUUGUAGUUUAGGCAACAGGGAAAGGAGGAAAAUCAAUAUAGUAUCGAUAACCUCGGCAAAGUUGCCAUUUCUAAGAUUGAAAUUGAAAGUUGUUCCGUGUUGGCUUCGAUAGACAAGGGUACUGACUAUAAAAUCAGCACAAUAUUUAACUAUUUUAUCAGCCAAUUGUACUUUGGGCAACAGGGAAAGGAGAGAGAUCAAUAUAAUAUCGAUAACCUCGGCAAAGUUGCCAUUCCUAAGACAUAACUACAUACACUUACAGGCAGGCAUCAAUUUGAAUAUUGUUCCAUGUUGGCUAACAAUAGACAAGGGUACUGACUAAAAAAUCAGCACAACAUUUAACUAUUUAUUCAGCCAAUUGUAGUUUAGGCAACAGGGAAAGGAGGAAAAUCAAUAUAGUAUCGAUAACCUCGGCAAAGUUGCCAUUUCUAAGACUUAAAGAUAGGCAGGCGUUGACUUAAAAAUACAUAAUAAUGACAAGCUUUGUCAUAACAAAAAAACAAAACUUGCAUUGGUUUGAUUCAUACAAUGGCAAAUAUAGGACAAUACAAGAUUACAAGAGAGCUGAGUGCCUGACAGCCAAAAGAAAAUUUCUUGCAACUAUUAACAAUUCGGUUACGAUUAAACUUGGGAUUGCAUUUUGUAAGAUAAAUCCCUAUCAGAGUAACUAUGACAUAAGCUUCACUUGGACAAAUGCCCAUAGCUUUUGAUAUGUGGUCAUUAUAUAGGGUUAAAAAUUAGGCAAACAACAUUCUGAUUCUUACUGAACAUCCACUAAGCAUGGUUCCUAUGUUCAUAGUGCAUGAUACAAAAACAAAUGACAAGAGACAAAUACAAACUACAAGAAAUAGAGUAUAGCUUAUAGGCUUAUGGCAAACUAAAAAAGCAUGACAAAAAAAUAUAUUCUGAUACACAAACUUGAUCUGUGUCAUAGAAACACUUCCAUGCAACAAAUUGAAAAACAAACUAGACAACACUUUGAAUUACCCAGCAAUAGCAAGGCCCUCUAGGAGAAAUAACCAUGCAAUCUAAUGGUGUCACAUUAACCAGGAUAAAAUGAUUAUUUAUCUCUCUCCAAGUGGACUUCCCCAUACUCAUUAUUGAAGAGGAACUCAAGGACUAAAUAUCCAUGCAUAAUAGUAUUCAUUAUGCAGGGGAAAUAAUAUCCAAUUGGUUGGAACCGACAUCCAAAUAAAAUAAAAAAUAGAAAACAGAAUAAGAUGUGAAAAAACAUAUUUUAGCAACAGGAAGGGGAAAAACAUUAUCUCUAUCAGUGUAACUAUGACUAUAAAGCUUCAUUGGAAUUUAUCCCUAGCUCAUCACAG
rnacentral:lncRNA from 1 species